rnacentral:rRNA from 1 species
GAUGAACGCUGGCGGCGUGCCUAAUACAUGCAAGUCGAGCGAACAGACGAGGAGCUUGCUCCUCUGAUGUUAGCGGCGGACGGGUGAGUAACACGUGGAUAACCUACCUAUAAGACUGGGAUAACUUCGGGAAACCGGAGCUAAUACCGGAUAACAUGUUGAACCGCAUGGUUCAACAGUGAAAGACGGUCUUGCUGUCACUUAUAGAUGGAUCCGCGCCGCAUUAGCUAGUUGGUAAGGUAACGGCUUACCAAGGCAACGAUGCGUAGCCGACCUGAGAGGGUGAUCGGCCACACUGGAACUGAGACACGGUCCAGACUCCUACGGGAGGCAGCAGUAGGGAAUCUUCCGCAAUGGGCGAAAGCCUGACGGAGCAACGCCGCGUGAGUGAAGAAGGUCUUCGGAUCGUAAAACUCUGUUAUUAGGGAAGAACAAAUGUGUAACUAACUAUGCACGUCUUGACGGUACCUAAUCAGAAAGCCACGGCUAACUACGUG